UCGGGGAUGAGAUACUGCAGCUCGCGGAGGAUGAAGUGCCACCGGAAGACGUCGUCUUCCACCGAUUCUACAUGAACAAGACCGGCUCCUCCAAGAGGCUGAAAGCCAAGAAGCAGAAGGCGUCGCUCGAUGACGAGGACGCCGACCUGUUAUUGGACGGGGAUGAUGAGAGUGCCGAAGAGAUUGACCGCAUGCUGGGAUCUGGGCGCAGUACGGUGGAAGAGCCCGAGGGAGAGUACGAUUACGACGAUCUUGACCAUAUCGCCGAGGAGGAUGNAAUAACUUUCCUCUUCGUCCGUGUUUGUUCACAUACCAAUCUUGGGAACAAUUGUUGAUAUAAGCACUUGGUUUUGAUAUCUGAGUUUUUUGUUGCGGGUGCUUUAUCAUGUGAUCUUUCUCGAUUCUUUGGCUACUGAAUAAACUUAUUGGAAUUUUCAUUGUGACUAAUUCUUCUCGAGUUAUUUAAAUUAAUAAGCUGAUUUUUCUCUGCAGCUUGACCUGAGCCACCAUCUCAUCGGGGAUGAGAUACUGCAGCUCGCGGAGGAUGAAGUGCCGCCGGAAGACGUCGUCUUCCACCGAUUCUACAUGAACAAGACCGGCUCCUCCAAGAGGCUGAAAGCCAAGAAGCAGAAGGCGUCGCUCGAUGACGAGGACGCCGACCUGUUAUUGGACGGGGAUGAUGAGAGUGACGAAGAAAUUGACCGCAUGCUGGGAUCUGGGCGCAGUACGGUGGAAGAGCCCAAGGGAGAGUACGAUUACGACGAUCUUGACCAUAUCGCCGAGGAGGAUGAUGACGACCUG
rnacentral:lncRNA from 1 species